rnacentral:tRNA from 1 species
AUUUAAAUAGCUUAAUUAUUAAAGUUUAAUAUUGAAAAUAUUAAGAUGAAUAUUUAUAUUCUUUAAAUAA